AUGGCGCAGGAGAGCUGUGAUCUCAACAAGGACGAGGCCGAGAUCCUGAAGCCAUCCUCCUCCACACCUUCGCCUCCUUCCCCAACCACACCACCACCACCAACCGCUCAAAUACCAGAACCGCAACCUCCACAGUCGCCACCACAACCACCGGCAGCUCAAUUCUUGUCCAGGCCCUGUGAAGUUGUUCACAUAGAGACUUCCAAAAAGAGGAAACAUGCUGAUGCGGUGUCAAUGGCCAUGGCGGCUGCGCCAUUGUCGCCUGUGCUGUUUGUUAACCGUUGCAACGUGUGCCGCAAGAGAGUUGGUUUGACCGGGUUUCGUUGCCGGUGCGAGAAGCUCUUUUGUCCGCGCCACCGGCAUUCAGAAAGCCACGACUGCUCAUUUGAUUAUAAAACUGCGGGCCGGGAGGAGAUUGCCCGGGCAAACCCUCUUAUCAGGGCUGCCAAGAUCAUUAGGAUAUGA
rnacentral:rRNA from 1 species